CGUCGGGAAAUGCAUAAAGUGUUCGUUUCCGGAUUGUGAGUUUGACAACAUGUACACAAAUUAAUAUUGUUUUUCUGAUAGAUUGACUCUUUGCAUUUACGCGAAAUUACUUUCCCUCGAUUCCAGGAGCCCUAGUGAAAUGAUGGGAACUAUGUCGUAUUUAUUGCGGCGUGGUCUACCAUGACUGUAAAUUUAGCUUUACGAUUGAUACAGAAGUCGUCUGCUUGGCAGCUUCCGUGGUUGACGGCAGAAGAGGAGUUUCAACGGGCUUUCAUCGUAGAUCUGUUUGGUUCCUUCAGAAAUAACAAUGAAGCACAACAUAUGCAUGGUGUCUGACUUCUUCUACCCCAACAUGGGAGGAGUUGAGAGUCACAUAUACCAGCUGUCUCACUGCCUCCUGGAACGUGGACACAAGGUUAUUGUCAUUACCCAUCUCUAUGGCAACAGACGAGGAGUCCGAUAUCUCUCCAGUGGUUUAAAGGUGUACUACUUGCCGUUCCCCCCUUUCUACAACCAGUGCAUACUGCCCACCAUCUACACCACCUUCCCCUUACUGAGGAAUAUAUUCAUUAGAGAAAAGAUUUCAAUAGUUCAUGGACAUUCCGCGUUCUCCACCUUGGCGCAUGAGGCCAUGCUGCAUGCACGCACGCUGGGGCUGAAGACCGUGUUCACCGACCACUCGCUGUUUGGGUUCGCAGAUGCCAGCUCAAUUCUUACAAACAAAGUGCUGAAGUUUUCUCUAGCUGACUGCAACCACGUGAUAUGUGUCUCCUACACCAGUAAAGAGAACACAGUGUUGAGAGCUCGGAUCAACCCAGAACUUGUAUCAGUUAUACCUAACGCGGUGGAUGCUACCAUGUUUAUGCCGGACCCAACCAAGAGGAACCCAGAUAAAAUCACAGUGGUGGUCGUCAGUCGCCUGGUAUAUAGGAAGGGCAUGGACUUCCUGGUGGGUAUCAUCCCCCAGAUCACAGCCAGAUACCCAGACGUGCAGUUUAUCAUAGGGGGAGACGGGCCGAAGCGGGUUGUUCUGGAGGAAGUGAGAGAGCAAUAUGAACUUCACGACCGGGUCACUCUGCUAGGUCCACUCAAACACGACCAAGUUCGGGGCGUUCUUGUUCAAGGGGAUAUAUUGCUGAAUACGUCCCUGACUGAGGCAUUCUGUAUUGCCAUAGUGGAGGCAGCAUGCUGUGGGCUUCAGGUCGUAAGUACGAGAGUCGGGGGUGUUGGGGAGGUGUUGCCCCCUGAUCUCAUCUACCUGGCAGAACCCAAUGUCAAAGCUCUGGUCGAGGAACUUGAAAGAGCAAUCAAGGACAAAAAACAUGGCAGAGUUGUCUCCCCUCACGAAGCACACGAGAGAAUUCAGGACCUUUACACAUGGCGCAAUGUUGCAAAGAGAACAGAAGUAGUGUACAAUACAGUUAGCCAGAAGCCAACACGAGACCUUCCUGAUCGACUUUUGAGGUACUACCAGUGUGGCCCACUGUCCGGGAAGCUGUUUGUGAUUGCUGCUGUCCUCAAUGUAGCAGUCUUGUGGAUUCUGCAGUGGUUGUGGCCCGAUAAUACAAUAGAGCCUGCCCCUGUAUUUUCAACACCUGUUCCAUGGAAGAAGACAAGAAGAUGAUAUUGCAACCGUCAUUGUAAAAUUUGAAGUAUAUAUAAGUUAUCACAUCAGGGUGUUUGACAAACUGGUACGAACAAGACAUAAAGAUAUGCAUAUGUUGCAUUAUAGACUUACAGAAAAAAAGUUGUUAAAUUAUCUUAAUAAAAUAUAAUAAAAAGAAGCCCAGAGACUCUUCAUUUUCAGAAACUGCAAUAUUCUAGACCUGCCCACUAUAAUAGACUUGCAUGAGCUGUGUUGGAUAUAUUUGUUUCAGAGUCUAUAUGACAGGCUAUUGGAUAGCAGGCUAUUGGUGUUAUAUUGCCCAUGUCACCUCUAGAUUGCAAUGCAUGGAUAAAGUGAUAAUUAUCUUAAUAUCUAUUGCAAUCACCCAGUACUAUUAUCUUUUUUAUGUAAACCAGUAUAUAUGUUACAUACAAUAAAUUAUUAUUUUCUUAUAUAUA
rnacentral:misc_RNA from 1 species